UCGUGGAGUGAUUUGUCUGCUUAAUUGCGAUAACGAACGAGACCUUACCCUGCUAAAUAGCCCGGCCGGCUUUGGCUGGCCGCCGGCUUCUUAGAGGGACUAUCGGCUCAAGCCGAUGGAAGUUUGAGGCAAUAACA
rnacentral:rRNA from 1 species